rnacentral:rRNA from 1 species
AGAUUGAACGCUGGCGGCGUGCCUAACACAUGCAAGUCGAGCGGUAACAGGUGUAGCAAUACAUGCUGACGAGCGGCGGACGGGUGAGUAACGCUUGGGAAUCUGCCUAUUAGUGGGGGACAACUCGGGGAAACUCGGGCUAAUACCGCAUACGCUUUACGAAGGAAAGCCGGGGACCGCAAGGCCUGGCGCUAAUAGAUGAGCCCAAGUCGGAUUAGCUAGUUGGUAGGGUAAUGGCCUACCAAGGCUUCGAUCCGUAACUGGUCUGAGAGGACGACCAGUCACACCGGAACUGAGACACGGUCCGGACUCCUACGGGAGCAGCAGUGGGAAUAUUGGACAAGUGGGGCAACCCUGAUCCAGCGACGCCGCGUGGGUGAAGAAGGCCGUAGCGGGUUGUAAAGCCCCGUUUCGGGUAGGGGAAGUAAAACGGUCGUACGGACGUUAAAGUAAGGUCGGGACCCUUGAACCGUAACCUACGUAAAGAAGCAACCGGCUAACUCUGUGCCAGCAGCCGC